rnacentral:rRNA from 1 species
UACGGAGGGAGCUAGCGUUGUUCGGAAUUACUGGGCGUAAAGCGCGCGUAGGCGGUUAUCCAAGUCAGGGGUGAAAUCCCGGAGCUCAACUCCGGAACUGCCCUUGAAACUAGGUAACUAGAAUACUGGAGAGGUGAGUGGAAUUCCGAGUGUAGAGGUGAAAUUCGUAGAUAUUCGGAAGAACACCAGUGGCGAAGGCGACUCACUGGACAGUUAUUGACGCUGAGGUGCGAAAGCGUGGGGAGCAAACAGG